GUGAAUCAUCAAAUUUUUGAACGCAAAUUGCACUCCCUGGUAUUCCGGGGAGUAUGCCUGUUUGAGGGUCGUUAGAACAAAAAUCGAAGCGUCGCUCUUUUUUUUUAAGGGUGACCGCGCAAGAAUUGAGCGGUCUUCAAAAUGUUAAUUAAUGCAAAAUUGGUUUGAAAUUAAUCAAUCUGGUACGAUA
rnacentral:misc_RNA from 1 species